UGGGGAAUAUUGCGCAAUGGGCGAAAGCCUGACGCAGCGACGCCGCGUGAGGGAUGAAGGUUUUCGGAUCGUAAACCUCUGUCGGAAGGGAAGAAGGCGCACCGUGCCAAUCAGCGGUGUGUUGACGGUACCUUCAAAGGAAGCGCCGGCUAACUCCGUGCCAGCAGCCGCGGUAAUACGGAGGGCGCAAGCGUUAAUCGGAAUUACUGGGCGUAAAGCGCGCGUAGGCUGUUUCGUAACUCAGGGGUGAAAUCCCACGGCUCAACCGUGGAACUGCCUUUGAUACUGCGGGACUUGAAUCCGGGAGAGGGUGGCGGAAUUCCAGGUGUAGGAGUGAAAGUCCGUAGAUAUCUGGAGGAACACCGGUGGCGAAGGCGGCCACCUGGCCCGGCAUUGACGCUGAGGUGCGAAAGCGUGGGGGAGCAAACAGGAUUAGAUACC
rnacentral:rRNA from 1 species